AACCAUAGAAACCUGCGGAGUACCUGCGGAAGGAUCAUUAUUGAAUAUGCCGGUACUAGGUGGUACUUUGGCAGCAUUUUUUGUCCCAACCUGAUCAGCCGGAUGGCAUUGUUGGAGCUUGACUGAAACAAAUAUCGGGCGCAUGCCCAUGAAUAUAAUGUAACACAACUUUCAACAAUGGAUCU
rnacentral:misc_RNA from 1 species